CUCGGGUCGCGGUGUUGGCGCUGAGGUGGCUGCGGGCCGCUGUGGGGCUAAGGGAAGUGGCAGCAGGAGGGUUUGUUCUUCGCAGAGCCGGAGCUCUGGAAGCAGCUGUCAGCGGCUGUGUGUGGAAACAGGACCUGAGGAGCGGCCUGGUCAGCAGCUGCUGCUGUACCACCUUCUGCUGUGGGCUCCGUGAUCCUCAUGGAGGCCUUGGCAGAGUGCGUGCUCAGCCUGAUCAAUCCCACAUCAGCUUCCUACGUCCCUUAUCAGUAUUAGGAAGUCUCUGUUGUACAGAGCUUCCUCUUAUGGCACUUCUCUCAGGUUAGGGUGUGCAAUUUAAUAGAAAAUGGGUUAUUUCUGUAAAUAAGAACACAUGCUGUGGUUCUCAUGGCCAAACCUUCCCGAUCAGUUGCCAGCAGGGCUGUCCUUGGGCUGGGAUCCAAGGGCUAAAAGGUUGGAAGGGGCUGGAAUAGGAUAGAGUAGGAAUAGAAUGGAAUGGAAUAGAAUGGAAUAGAGUGGAAUGAAAUAGAAGGUAGGAUAGGACAGAGUGGAAUAGAGUAGAAUAGAAUGAUAGAAUGGCCCGGGUUGAAAAGGACCGCAAUGCUCAUCUGGUUCCAACCCCUUCUAUGUGCAGGGUCGCCAACCAGCAGACCAGGCUGCCCAAAGCGACAUCCAGCCUGGCCUUGAAUGCCUCCAGGGAUGGGGAAAUAGAACAGAACAGUCUGAAUAAAUCUACAGUGAUUCCGACCACCCGACCUCUUAAGGGCUGACCAACAUGUAAAGCACGAGCCCAACCCAUUUAAACCAUUUCAUUACAGGUUUCAACCCAACCACUGAAAGGUGGAAGUGGAUGAUCAAAAAGGAUCUGAUCUCAUGUCAUAGAAUGAACAUUAAAGUAACAAGAUUCCACGAAGAUA